CCUACGGGGUGCAGCAGUGAGGAAUAUUGGUCAAUGGACGAGAGUCUGAACCAGCCAAGUCGCGUGAAGGAUGACUGCCCUAUGGGUUGUAAACUUCUUUUAUAUGGGAAUAAAAUGUUCCACGUGUGGGAUUUUGUAUGUACCAUAUGAAUAAGGAUCGGCUAACUCCGUGCCAGCAGCCGCGGUAAUACGGAGGAUCCGAGCGUUAUCCGGAUUUAUUGGGUUUAAAGGGAGCGUAGGUGGAUUGUUAAGUCAGUUGUGAAAGUUUGCGGCUCAACCGUAAAAUUGCAGUUGAAACUGGCAGUCUUGAGUACAGUAGAGGUGGGCGGAAUGCGUGGUGGAGCGGUGAAAUGCUUAGAUAUCACGAAGAACUCCGAUUGCGAAGGCAGUUCACUGGACUGCAACUGACACUGAGGCUCGAAAGUGUGGGUAUCAAACAGGAUUAGAUACCCGUGUAGUC
rnacentral:rRNA from 1 species